UGGGGAAUAUUGCGCAAUGGGGGAAACCCUGACGCAGCAACGCCGCGUGCGGGAUGAAGGCCUUCGGGUUGUAAACCGCUUUCAGCAGGGAAGACAUCGACGGUACCUGCAGAAGAAGCUCCGGCUAACUACGUGCCAGCAGCCGCGGUAAUACGUACGGGGCGAGCGUUAUCCGGAUUCAUUGGGCGUAAAGCGCGCGCAGGCGGUUGCUCAAGCGGAACCUCUAAUCUCGGGGGUUAACCUCGGGCCGGGUUCCGAACUGGACGACUCGAGUGCGGUAGAGGCAGAUGGAAUUCCCGGUGUAGCGAUGGAAUGCGCAGAUAUCGGGAAGAACACCAGCGGCGAAGGCAGUCUGCUGGGCCGUAACUGACGCUGAGGCGCGAAAGCUGGGGGAGCGAACAGG
rnacentral:rRNA from 1 species